rnacentral:rRNA from 1 species
GAUGAACGCUGGCGGCGUGCCUAAUACAUGCAAGUCGAGCGAACAGACGAGGAGCUUGCUCCUCUGACGUUAGCGGCGGACGGGUGAGUAACACGUGGAUAACCUACCUAUAAGACUGGGAUAACUUCGGGAAACCGGAGCUAAUACCGGAUAAUAUAUUGAACCGCAUGGUUCAAUAGUGAAAGACGGUUUUGCUGUCACUUAUAGAUGGAUCCGCGCCGCAUUAGCUAGUUGGUAAGGUAACGGCUUACCAAGGCAACGAUGCGUAGCCGACCUGAGAGGGUGAUCGGCCACACUGGAACUGAGACACGGUCCAGACUCCUACGGGAGGCAGCAGUAGGCAAUCUUCCGCAAUGGGCGAAAGCCUGACGGAGCAACGCCGCGUGAGUGAUGAAGGUCUUCGGAUCGUAAAACUCUGUUAUUAGGGAAGAACAAAUGUGUAAGUAACUAUGCACGUCUUGACGGUACCUAAUCAGAAAGCCACGGCUAACUACGUG